rnacentral:lncRNA from 1 species
UCAUCUCUCUUAGAAAAGCUAAAAGGAAAAGACCACCGUCUUUUAUUCUUCCCUCCAGCUAACGCUUUCUCCUGCCACUUCCGAUCACUGGCUUCCCGGGUACACACACGUCGCGUAACCUACGUCACAAGGAAUUGAGGGGGGAAAAAAAAAACACUUAUUAGGGAAAAAGAAAGAAAGAAGCAAGCAUUUCUCCUCACGGCGCACCGCGGAGGACCAGAACCCUUCCAAUCCACUUGGGCCGUUAAUCCUACUCCAUUAUUAUAACGGCUGUUGUAACGGUCAAUCCACUGAUAAUGCACAUUUAGAAAAUGACAUUUAUUCCAACGUCACAAGGUUUUUGCAAGAGAAAAAUCCAUUCCAUCUUCGUUUUUUAUAAAAAAUCUGUACUACCCUAACCCUAUCUACACAUCCAUUACUAAAAGUUGUUCAUAGAAUACCAUAUUGUGCAUUAAGCAUGCAUAUUCCUCAAAAGCAUAGUAUACUGUACUAUCCUAAAUAGGAUGGUACCAAACAUACUAUACCGUAUCGAUUCAGUACUGAUAUCGCUGACGUACCGAUGCUCGAUAUGCCAAAAAAACUACGUACCGUACCGUACUAAUACUAUACUAGUGUGGCAUGGUAUCGAGUUCGGUACCACGAUGGCGGAUCUUACUCAAAAAAUAAUAAUUUAUCAAAAUUCAAAAUUAUUUUAUUAAAAAUAACUUAUUUUUCUCAAAAAAAAAGCUUAUUAAAACUGCAGGAGAUUUUUUUUUUUACAUUGUGCAAAAUUCUCUAUUUCAUCUAUUAUUUGAAAUAGAUGGUUUCUUUAUUGUUAACGAUAAAUAUCCGUAACGGAGGGAACCGUUAGUCGAUGAUAUGGACGGACGUUGGUCUAAUAAUGUAAAGGGGGAAGCAAAGGGCAACGUACUAGGAUUGGCCGACGUGAGCGCCGCCGACUGCGAGAAGUCGCAGUUCCAGGGGUUCCGGCCGGCGACCUGGUACAACUGGUUCAUGGCGUAGGCCGCGUGCGA